GUAACUUCAAAAAAUUGCAAUUAAAAUUUUAGAACUUCGCACGAAUCAGUGGAGAUUUUAGAACUCCCUUGGAUCUUGAAAUUUUUUCUUUCUUCGUCUGAUUGACAUCAACACAACAUCAGCGUCUUCUUCUUCUUCUUCCCCGAAAACAUUGGCUCCAGCCUUUACUGUUAAUCCCGCCACCGGCGUUGAUCGCAAUUGUCACCACUGCCACCAGACUGGACCCUCGUCGUUGUAAUCGUGUAAACCUUAGGAACCAUCCUUGCACGUUAGAGCUCGCAUCAAUAGUUGCUCUACUCAACCACUCCAGCUUGUUGCCAUUUUCGUCAUUUGCUGAAAGAGUCAAAGCCAAGAUGAAGCUUCAGCUCUCUGAAAUUGGCUUAUGUUCAAAAGUUGGAAAGUAGUCAUUUAAAGCUGACCGAACUGGAUCAAGAGCUUCGGCGAGCUGGGCAGCAGUUGGAGGGAACUUUGGCUUGCUUUUUGUAUUGGUUCUGUUUUUCACUGCACCAUUUUCAAGAUGGAGAAGGAUUUAAGGCAACAUGGUAUAAAGCCAAAGUAAUAAGUGUGAAGGAUGGUAAAGCUCUACAAUUUGCCUGUAGAUGAUGAAGGUUGGAAAAUUGAGAAAAAUUUGUUUUACAUGUGCAUGCCCUUUCAAGGAAUGGAUUUCACUUGAAGGUGAAAAAGAGACAGAGGGAAACUACGGUUAUGUUGAUCAUCGAGGAGCAACUUUAGCAGCUUUGGUUACAAGUGGAGAAAGUUAUUCAUAUACAAGGACUCAACAUCAUUUCUUUUAAUUAUUUAUUGUAAAAGAUCAUGUUAGGAUCAUCAAUAUUUUAAUUUUAAUAACUUUAUAUGUAGUAUAAAUAAUCAUAUGUUGUAUUACA